rnacentral:rRNA from 2 species
UGAGGAAUAUUGGUCAAUGGAGACAACUCUGAACCAGCCACGUCGCGUGAAGGAUGACGGCCCUAUGGGUUGUAAACUUCUUUUAUAAGGGAAUAAAGUGAGGGACGUGUCCCUUAUUGUAUGUACCUUAUGAAUAAGGAUCUGCUAACUCCGUGCCAGCAGCCGCGGUAAUACGGAGGAUACGAGCGUUAUCCGGAUUUAUUGGGUUUAAAGGGAGCGUAGGUUGACGUAUAAGUCAGCUGUGAAAGUUUACGGCUCAACCGUGAAAUUGCAGUUGAUACUGUAUGUCUUGAGUGUACAAGAGGUGGGCGGAAUUCGUGGUGUAGCGGUGAAAUGCUUAGAUAUCACGAAGAACUCCAAUUGCGAAGGCAGCUCACUGGGGUACAACUGACACUGAGGCUCGAAAGUGUGGGUAUCAAACAGG